UGCGGCUGCCAUGCAGGAAGCGCGGGCGAUCAGCCUCAAAUCCUUAAAGGAUGCACAGAAAAGAGCAUUAGAGCCCUGAUCCGUCAUCUCCUGAGCUGCGGCAGCGCCUGGGAACACCGGGUGUCAUCACAACCCCCCGGGGACAGAAAUCCCUCUGGUUUGUGGGCACGGGACUGAUCCUGACGGCACUGCUUGGAGAGGGGAGAGCGUGAGCAGGGGCUCGCCUACGCGUACUGCAGCCCCCCUGGAUGAGAGGCUGUCCCUCGGUGCCGGACACAAAGCAGCCCCUGUCUUGCCUCGAGGUUUCCCUGCCCAGAAGCAAUGCAAACAGGGGGGACAGCCGCUGCUGCUGCUCGGCUUUGAGAUUGAGAAGGGAGACGGCGAAGAGGCGAAAGAGCAGGGGCCAUGGCCGGUCUCAGCCCUGGGGUUGUGGGGGGGAUGCAGCCCCCCCCCGGCCGUGCUCGUAGGUUACCGGCUGCAGACCGGGGAGGGGGCUUUUCCAGGCUGCCACCCGAACUAGCUUUAAAUAAAACCUGAGCUGCUGCGAGUGCUGAGGGCCAGGGCGA